UACGGCGACCAUAGCGGAGGGGCCACACCUGGACUCGUCCCGAUCCCAGAAGUAAAGUCCUCCAGCGAUUUGGAUUGUACUGUAGGCGCGGGCCUAUGGGAACUUCAAGACGUUGCCGGCC
rnacentral:rRNA from 1 species